rnacentral:ncRNA from 1 species
ACUCUGGAGAAUCUCAUCUGCCCUCUAUGUAUUCAUGACGGAAGGAGCAGCAGGGUGCCGAAGGUGCAAGAUAUACGGAAAGUAUAUUUAAUCUCUCAGGCAAAAGGACGGAGAAUA